UGAUGAUGACAAUGAUGAUGAUGAUGAGGAGGAGGAUGAUGAUGAGCGUCAUCGUCAUCGUCAUCGUCAUCAUCAUCAUCAUCACAA
rnacentral:pre_miRNA from 1 species